rnacentral:siRNA from 1 species
GUGAAAUCCUUACAUUGCCUGAAC